GGCUGUUUAGCUCAGUUGGUAGAGCAUCCCGUUUACAUCGGGGCGGUCGGGGGUUCGAGUCCCUCAACAGCCACAA
rnacentral:tRNA from 2 species